GAUGAACGCUGGCGGCGUGCCUAAUACAUGCAAGUCGAGCGAACAGACGAGGAGCUUGCUCCUCUGACGUUAGCGGCGGACGGGUGAGUAACACGUGGAUAACCUACCUAUAAGACUGGGAUAACUUCGGGAAACCGGAGCUAAUACCGGAUAAUAUAUUGAACCGCAUGGUUCAAUAGUGAAAGACGGUUUUGCUGUCACUUAUAGAUGGAUCCGCGCCGCAUUAGCUAGUUGGUAAGGUAACGGCUUACCAAGGCAACGAUGCGUAGCCGACCUGAGAGGGUGAACGGCCACACGGGAACUGAGAAACGGUCCCGACUCCUACGGGGAGCAGCAGUAGGGAAUCUUACGCGAGGGGCGAGAGCCUGACGGAGCAACGCCGCGUGAGUGAUGAAGGUCUUAGGAUCGUAAAGCUCUGUUAUUAGGAAAGAACAAAUGUGUAAGUAACUAUGCACGUCUUGACGGUACCUGAUCAGAAAGCCACGGCUAACUACGUG
rnacentral:rRNA from 1 species